AUUGAACGCUGGCGGCACGCCUAACACAUGCAAGUCGAGCGGACAUUAACUUCGGUUGAUGUUAGCGGCGGACGGGUGAGUAGCGCGUAGGGAUCUGCCUUAGAGUGGGGGAUAACACGGGGAAACUCGUGCUAAUACCGCAUAUUACCAGAGGGUAAAAGUGAGCGAAGGCACACGCUUUAAGAGGAACAUGGGUUGGAUUAGCUAGUUGGUAGGGUAAAGGCAUACCAAGGCGAUGAUCCAUAGCUGGCCUGAGAGGACGAACAGCCACACUGGGACUGAGACACGGCCCAGACUCGUACGGGAGGCAGCAGUGGGGAAUAUUGGACAAUGGGGGCAACCCUGAUCCAGCGAUGCCGCGUGUGUGAAGAAGGCCUGCGGGUUGUAGAGCACUUUUGGUGGUGAGGAUGCUUUGAUACAUAAAUAGUGUAUUGAGGUGACGUUAACCACAGAAAAAGCACCGGCUAACUCUGUGCCAGCAGCCGCCGUAA
rnacentral:rRNA from 1 species